rnacentral:rRNA from 1 species
GAUGAACGCUGGCGGCGUGCCUAAUACAUGCAAGUCGAGCGAACGGACGAGAAGCUUGCUUCUCUGAUGUUAGCGGCGGACGGGUGAGUAACACGUGGAUAACCUACCUAUAAGACUGGGAUAACUUCGGGAAACCGGAGCUAAUACCGGAUAAUAUUUUGAACCGCAUGGUUCAAAAGUGAAAGACGGUCUUGCUGUCACUUAUAGAUGGAUCCGCGCUGCAUUAGCUAGUUGGUAAGGCAACGGCUUACCAAGGCAACGAUGCAUAGCCGACCUGAGAGGGUGAUCGGCCACACUGGAACUGAGACACGGUCCAGACUCCUACGGGAGGCAGCAGUAGGGAAUCUUCCGCAAUGGGCGAAAGCCUGACGGAGCAACGCCGCGUGAGUGAUGAAGGUCUUCGGAUCGUAAAACUCUGUUAUUAGGGAAGAACAUAUGUGUAAGUAACUAUGCACAUCUUGACGGUACCUAAUCAGAAAGCCACGGCUAACUACGUGCCAGCAGCCGCGGUAAUACGUAGGUGGCAAGCGUUAUCCGGAAUUAUUGGGCGUAAAGCGCGCGUAGGCGGUUUUUUAAGUCUGAUGUGAAAGCCCACGGCUCAACCGUGGAGGGUCAUUGGAAACUGGAAAACUUGAGUGCAGAAGAGGAAAGUGGAAUUCCAUGUGUAGCGGUGAAAUGCGCAGAGGUAUGGAGGAACACCAGUGGCGAAGGCGACUUUCUGGUCUGUAACUGACGCUGAUGUGCGAAAGCGUGGGGAUCAAACGGGAUUAGAUACCCUGGUAGUCCACGCCGUAAACGAUGAGUGCUAAGUGUUAGGGGGUUUCCGCCCCUUAGUGCUGCAGCUAACGCAUUAAGCACUCCGCCUGGGGAGUACGACCGCAAGGUUGAAACUCAAAGGAAUUGACGGGGACCCGCACAAGCGGUGGAGCAUGUGGUUUAAUUCGAAGCAACGCGAAGAACCUUACCAAAUCUUGACAUCCUCUGACCCCUCUAGAGAUAGAGUUUUCCCCUUCGGGGGACAGAGUGACAGGUGGUGCAUGGUUGUCGUCAGCUCGUGUCGUGAGAUGUUGGGUUAAGUCCCGCAACGAGCGCAACCCUUAAGCUUAGUUGCCAUCAUUAAGUUGGGCACUCUAAGUUGACUGCCGGUGACAAACCGGAGGAAGGUGGGGAUGACGUCAAAUCAUCAUGCCCCUUAUGAUUUGGGCUACACACGUGCUACAAUGGACAAUACAAAGGGUAGCGAAACCGCGAGGUCAAGCAAAUCCCAUAAAGCUGUUCUCAGUUCGGAUUGUAGUCUGCAACUCGACUAUAUGAAGCUGGAAUCGCUAGUAAUCGUAGAUCAGCAUGCUACGGUGAAUACGUUCCCGGGUCU